UACGUAGGAGGCAAGCGUUGUCCGGAAUCAUUGGGCGUAAAGCGCGUGUAGGCGGCCCGGAAAGUCUGGUGUGAAAUCCUGGGGCUCAACCCCAGACUGUCACUGGAUACUAUCGGGCUUGAGUCUGGAAGAGGAGUGUGGAAUUCCUGGUGUAGCGGUGAAAUGCGCAGAUAUCAGGAGGAACACCAAUGGCGAAGGCAGCACUCUGGGACGUGACUGACGCUGAGACGCGAAAGCGUGGGGAGCAAACAGG
rnacentral:rRNA from 1 species